rnacentral:rRNA from 1 species
CCUACGGGUUGCAGCAGUAGGGAAUCUUCGGCAAUGGACGAAAGUCUGACCGAGCAACGCCGCGUGAGUGAAGAAGGUUUUCGGAUCGUAAAACUCUGUUGGUAGAGAAGAACGUUGGUGAGAGUGGAAAGCUCAUCAAGUGACGGUAACUACCCAGAAAGGGACGGCUAACUACGUGCCAGCAGCCGCGGUAAUACGUAGGUCCCGAGCGUUGUCCGGAUUUAUUGGGCGUAAAGCGAGCGCAGGUGGUUUAUUAAGUCUGGUGUAAAAGGCAGUGGCUCAACCAUUGUAUGCAUUGGAAACUGGGGGACUUGAGUGCAGAAGAGGAGAGCGGAAUUCCACGUGUAGCGGUGAAAUGCGUAGAGAUGUGGAGGAACACCAGUGGCGAAGGCGGCUCUCUGGUCUGUAACUGACGCUGAGGCGCGAAAGCGUGGGGAGCAAACAGGAUUAGAUACCCGGGUAGUC